UACGUAGGGUCCGAGCGUUGUCCGGAAUUACUGGGCGUAAAGAGCUCGUAGGUGGUUUGUCGCGUUGUCCGUGAAAACUCACAGCUCAACUGUGGGCGUGCGGGCGAUACGGGCAGACUGGAGUACUGCAGGGGAGACUGGAAUUCCUGGUGUAGCGGUGGAAUGCGCAGAUAUCAGGAGGAACACCGGUGGCGAAGGCGGGUCUCUGGGACGGUACUGACGCUGAGACGCGAAAGCGUGGGGAGCGAACAGG
rnacentral:rRNA from 1 species